UGGGGAAUCUUGGACAAUGGGGGCAACCCUGAUCCAGCCAUGCCGCGUGAGUGAUGAAGGCCUUAGGGUCGUAAAGCUCUUUCGCCUGUGAAGAUAAUGACGGUAGCAGGUAAAGAAACCCCGGCUAACUCCGUGCCAGCAGCCGCGGUAAUACGGAGGGGGUUAGCGUUGUUCGGAAUUACUGGGCGUAAAGCGCACGUAGGCGGACCAGAAAGUUGGGGGUGAAAUCCCGGGGGCUCAACCCCGGAACUGCCUCCAAAACUAUUGGUCUAGAGUUCGAGAGAGGUGAGUGGAAUUCCAAGUGUAGAGGUGAAAUUCGUAGAUAUUUGGAGGAACACCAGUGGCGAAGGCGGCUCACUGGCUCGAUACUGACGCUGAGGUGCGAAAGCGUGGGGAGCAAAGCAGGAUUAGAUAGCCCUGGUAGUCCACGCCGUAAAACGAUGUCUGCUAGUCGUUGGGGGCGUAGCCCUUCAGUGACGCCG
rnacentral:rRNA from 1 species